rnacentral:tRNA from 1 species
GGGGAUGUGGUCUAGUGGUAUGACGGAUCCUUAGCACCUUCCAAGGUACAUCUGGAUCAGGUCCGGGGUUCGAUUCCCCGCAUCUCCA